AAACUUUCAACAACGGAUCUCUUGGUUCUGGCAUCGAUGAAGAACGCAGCGAAAUGCGAUAAGUAAUGUGAAUUGCAGAAUUCAGUGAAUCAUCGAAUCUUUGAACGCACAUUGCACCACCUGGUAUUCCGGGGGGUAUGCCUGUUCGAGCGUCAUU
rnacentral:rRNA from 1 species